rnacentral:tRNA from 1 species
AGGGCUGUAGCUCAGUGGUAGAGUGUUUGCCUAGAAUAUGCAGGCCCUGGGUUCAAACCCCAGCACCACCA